rnacentral:rRNA from 1 species
GAUGAACGCUGGCGGCGUGCCUAACACAUGCAAGUCGAACGGAUCUGUAUUGAAACCUAGUGAUAUACAGGUUAGUGGCGGACGGGUGAGUAACGCGUGGAUAACCUGCCGUAUACCGGGGGAUAACACUUAGAAAUAGGUGCUAAUACCGCAUAAGCGCACAGCUUCGCAUGAAGCAGUGUGAAAAACUCCGGUGGUAUACGAUGGUUCCGCGUCUGAUUAGCUAGUUGGCGGGGUAACGGCCCACCAAGGCAGCGAUCAGUAGCCGGCCUGAGAGGGUGAACGGCCACAUUGGGACUGAGACACGGCCCAA